CCCAUCAUCCUAGCCUGUUAUCUGUGAUAAAGCACACUGAAGUUAGGUUUGGAAUGCAUCCUUAUCAUGAAUGCUCUACACCUCCACCUCCAUCUCCCACAACCUAGGUAACAGCUUUGAGACUCACUAAAAGUUGAACCCCCUGAAUGAUGUAGGCUAUGGGGCCACAUAAGACUUUGUCCAUCCAGGGUUACAUUGAACGACAACUUUAAACUAAAAAACCAACAUUUUUCACACAACUCCAGGUUGUUACUACAAGUGUCAUCAAGGGAUAACUACAAGUAGAAGCACCAUUUUUGGAUGGAAAAAACCCUUCAGGAAAGUAUACGUAUCACAUGUAACAUGUAGUGUAACAAAG